UCGAACCAUGGUCGAUUCUGCGUGGGGAUUAGUGGGCGAACGGGUGAGUAACACGUGGGCAAUCUGCCCUGCACUCUGGGACAAGCCCUGGAAACGGGGUCUAAUACCGGAUACUGAUCCUCGCAGGCAUCUGCGAGGGUCUAAAUUUCCGACCGUGCCGAUGAGCCCGCGGCCUAUCAGCUAGUUGGUGAGGUAACGGCUCACCAAGGCGACGACGGGUAGCCGGCCUGAGAGGGCGACCGGCCACACUGGGACUGAUACACGGCCCAAACUCCUACGGGAGGCAGCAGUGGGGAAUAUUGCACAAUGGGCGAAAGCCUGAUGCAGCGACGCCGCGUGAGGGAUGACGGCCUUCGGGUUGUAAACCUCUUUCAGCAGGGAAGAAGCGAAAGUGACCGUACCUGCAGAAGAACCGUCCGCUAACUGCAUGCCACCACCCGCGGUAAUACUUAGGGCGCAAGCGUUGUCCGGAAUUAUUGGGCGUAAAAAGCUCGUAGGCGGCUUGUCACGUCGGUUGUGAAAGCCCGGGGCUUAACCCCCGCCCUGCAAUCCAUACGAGUUUGCUACAGUUCGCCAUGGUACAUCGGAAUUGCAGUUGUAGCGUUGAAUUCCGCACAUAUCACGAGGAACGUUGCUCACACAUGCUGAUCUCUGGGCCGAUACUGACGCUCAGGAGUGUAAGCUUGUGGUAGCUACCCGGAUUAGAUACUCUGGUAGUCCAC
rnacentral:rRNA from 1 species